CCUACGGGUGGCUGCAGUGGGGAAUAUUGCACAAUGGGGGAAACCCUGAUGCAGCGACGCCGCGUGAGUGAAGAAGUAAUUCGUUAUGUAAAGCUCUAUCAGCAGGGAAGAAAAUGACGGUAACUGAGUAAGAUGCCCCGGCUAACUGAGUGCCAGCAGCCGCGGUAAUACGUAGGGUGCAAGCGUUCUCCGGUUUUACUGGGUGUAAAGUGAGCGUAGACGGCAAUGCAAGUCUAGAGUGAAAGGCGGGAGCUCAACCCCCGGACAGCUCUGGAAACUGUGCGGCUAGAGUGCAGGAGAGGUAAGUGGAAUUCCUGGUGUAGCGGUGAAAUGCGUAGAUAUUAGGAGGAACACCAGUGGCGAAGGCGGCUUACUGGACUGUAACUGACGUUGAGGCUCGAAAGCGUGGGGAGCAAACAGGAUUAGAUACCCCAGUAGUC
rnacentral:rRNA from 1 species